GACAGAGGUGGCGAGCGUUGUUCGGAAUUACUGGGCUUAAAGGGCGCGUAGGCGGUGGUACAAGUCUGAGGUGGAAUGCUACGGCUCAACCGUAGAAUUGCCUUGGAAACUGUACUGCUUGAGUUAGACAGGGGAAGGCGGAAUUCCUGGUGUAGCGGUGAAAUGCGUAGAUAUCAGGAGGAAGGCCUGUGGCGAAGGCGGCCUUCUGGGUCUUAACUGACGCUGAGGCGCGAAAGCGUGGGGAGCAAACAGG
rnacentral:rRNA from 1 species